rnacentral:rRNA from 1 species
GACGAACGCUGGCGGCGUGCCUAAUACAUGCAAGUAGAACGCUGAAGAGAGGAGCUUGCUCUUCUUGGAUGAGUUGCGAACGGGUGAGUAACGCGUAGGUAACCUGCCUUGUAGCGGGGGAUAACUAUUGGAAACGAUAGCUAAUACCGCAUAACAAUGGAUGACCCAUGUCAUUUAUUUAAAAGGGGCAAAUGCUCCACUACAAGAUGGACCUGCGUUGUAUUAGCUAGUAGGUGAGGUAACGGCUCACCUAGGCGACGAUACAUAGCCGACCUGAGAGGGUGAUCGGCCAAACUGGGACUGAGACACGGCCCAGACUCCUACGGGAGGCAGCAGUAGGGAAUCUUCGGCAAUGGGGGCAACCCUGACCGAGCAACGCCGCGUGAGUGAAGAAGGUUUUCGGAUCGUAAAGCUCUGUUGUAAGUCAAGAACGAGUGUGAGAGUGGAAAGUUCACACUGUGACGGUAGCUUACCAGAAAGGGACGGCUAACUACGUG